UACGGGGGGAGCAAGCGUUGUUCGGAUUUACUGGGCGUAAAGGGCGCGUAGGCGGUCAGCACAAGUCAGUUGUGAAAUCUCCGAGCUUAACUCGGAAAGGUCAACUGAUACUGUGCGACUAGAGUGCAGAAGGGGCAACUGGAAUUCUUGGUGUAGCGGUGAAAUGCGUAGAUAUCAAGAGGAACACCUGCGGCGAAGGCGGGUUGCUGGGCUGACACUGACGCUGAAGAGCGAAAGCGUGGGGAGCGAACAGG
rnacentral:rRNA from 1 species